GACGCUUUUAUAGUGCCAUUUCCUGGCCUUGCCACUGUUCUGCUAUGGUUACAUUUCCGAGUGAAGACUGUAAUAGUUUUGCUGCCAAUCAACUUGGUUGGAAGGGGUAACGAUAUUCGACAAGCCAUCGAGUCAAGUGAUAGGUCCAUCAAAGGUUAAAGAGACGAUGGGACAAAGGAAAUCAGUUCAUCAACAGGU